rnacentral:lncRNA from 1 species
CAUGCUUACAGGGUCAGCCAGUAUAGCGAGUACUUGAAGAGGGCAGUGUUCAAUUACCGGCUGAGUCGUGCAAGGAGGCUCAUAGAAAACAGUUUUGGUAUCCUGGCUAGUAGGUGGCGAAUACUGAAGAGACCUUUUCGAGCGUCGGAAGAAACCACUGAGAACAUUGUAAGGGCAUGUGUGGCGCUUCACAAUUUUCUGAUGAAAGAUUCGGUGUUCGCAAGGACAACGUACAACCCUCCUGGAUUUGUUGACCACGAAGACUGGGAGGGAAAUGUCACAAAUGGGGCAUGGAGGAACGACAGUAGUGCCCUUCCUGGAUGGACAGACCAGGGGUACCACUCUGCUCGGGCUGCAUUGGAAGUAAGGGAUAGACUGGCAUCCUACUUCAUGAGUGACGGCCAGGUGCCAUGGCAGGAAAGUGUCGUGACCCGUGCAGGACGGCAGGAAAUGUGAACCAUGCCAGUACCUAGAGGAACGUCCAUUGGCUGCUCGCCUUUUGGCAGACCUGCAGGACAGGCCACAUCAUUACAUUCAAGAAAUGCACUGGAAAAGUAUGUCUGCUUCCAAUCAAAGAAAGUGCGCACAGCUUUCUUACCCUGGAUCUGGGGCAGCGGCUCCUGCUUGUGAAGUUGACAACCUGCCUCAAAAAAAUGUUUGUUAUGGUGUCAUAUUCCGACACAAGGAAGUGAACACUAACUUACCCUGAAGAGCCAGCAGCAGAUGCCGCACCUUCUGAUGUGCUGGGGAGCCUAUAGAAAAAAUAAAUAUGUUGCAAUU